UAAUUUGCGGUAAACUUUGCAACAUAAUUUUUUUUCUCUAAAACUGUGACUGAAUUUUGUGACGGAUUUUCUAGAUGUAAAUCUUAAGUUGGAAUUGAAGGAAUAGAAAUUUUUUCCUAAAUCUUUUUUUUUUUCAUUUGCUCUUCUUCUCUCUGCUAUCAGCCACCCUUCUAGGGUUUUUUUUGUUCUACAACAGCUUAAUUAGCAGCUGGACCACAUCCCUCAACCUUUAUCACCUCUGCGGCUCUGCCCAUCCCUUGUUGUGGCCAAGGUCCACCAGCAACCACCAACCAUCCACCACUCGCUGCUGUCCUCUGCAAAACUGAAAUCAAUAAAGAAAAGGAUUGUAUAGAAACCUAAUUCAUUUUCUUAUAAAAAUCCCCAUGGAUUCCAAAUUGAUCCGCACACCUAAUUCUGGAAUCAUAUUAGUUAUAACGUUUGGUUUUUCAGAUCCCAAAUGAUUUAGAAUUUUUAUUCAUAGAUCGCAUAUGGCAGAGAGGUUGGUCAGUUGUUUGUGUAUUACACAUGUGAUGAAAAUUUAGAGGAGUUUCUAUCAAUUUUUAUGUGAACCACUUGAUAUUGCUUUGUCAUUAUACCGAAAAAAGGGAAACAAAUAGAAUUGCAAACAUUUAGCAUGUUAGAGCAGUUUUGGACUGUUCAAAAAUUUCUAGUUUCAUUUGGAAGGUGCGUGGUAAUGUCUAUUAUUAAUUAAUAUAUAUUUUCAAGAGAUGGACGUUCACCCGCAUGCUUGAAGCACUGAUCGAGGAUUAUGGUAGUGAACUAUUUCCUUUGUGAUUAGAAUAUGUCAGGGUGAGCAGGCUUAGUUAGGCUUUUAGUAACUCUGGAAUUUAAGACGUCCCUAGCUGAAUGCAACCUUGCUUAGGCUCAAGUUGUUUUGUUUAUGGAACCAAAAGGAAUGCAAUAUUGUUUGUAGCGCUAAGAACUAGUUGUAAAGCUUCACUGGAUUGUUCAUGUCAAUACUCAUAUGAAAGCACUUGCUUUUAUUUUUCCAGAUCUUACUGUUCAGUACACUUUCAUUGAUCGUGCUUAUACAUUGGCUUUGUGGCUUUACUGUGAAAUACGUUCUAACUAAUGUGCAGGUUUAUGUGAAGAGUAUUUUUUUCCCACAUUCACCAUCUCCUUGUCUCAAAUUCCCUUACAACAUCAUCAUGAUGCAUGUUAUAAGAAUUCUGGCUCUACGUUCACUUUGAUUCUGCAAGUAAUUCUCUAUUAGAACUUAAGUACUCUUUGAUGGAAUUAAACUUAAUGAUACUUUAUCUUUUUCUGUAAUUGUCAUUAUCUCAGAGAGCUAAAAGAUGCAUGUACAAUUGUUGAGGAUGUUCACAAUUUCGUAUAUUUGUAGUCUAAAAUCAAUAUUAGUACCAGAGCGGAAAGACAUUACUUUCUCA